rnacentral:lncRNA from 1 species
UGACAGAAUUGGAAUCCAGCCUCAGGCCAAAUUUGAGGAGCAGUUCCAGAUGAAAGGUAACUCUGAGAGAGUUUGUUUCCUAACAGCAAGCACCCAACAAAGUGACAUGUUAACAUUCUCUAUGAGGAGGUAUUAGCCUUUCAUUUUGCAAGUUCUGUUUAUGGCAUGAGAGGAAGUAUAUAUGUUUGAAAAUAACAAGUAUAUAUGUAUAUGUAUGUGUGUGUGUGGGGUCAAACUUACACAAUUCAAGGCCCCAAUUAAACCAUAUCUCACUUUUGUUUUUUGAAAAAUAUAUUGUAUGCAUAUUUGUGCCAGUGUGCUGGACCUCUUUUGCCCACCUUCUUUCUCUGCUUUCAAAUGUAUAUAUAUAUUCCAAUAUUAUUAAUAUUUACAUGGAAAGACUAGCAUAAAGUUUUCCACAACAGACAUAUGUGAUCAGUGAUCAGUGGGAGGGACUGGGACUUUUCAAUGAUAUGACAUGCAGUGUUGUUAUUGUUGAGGGUUCUUCCAGUCAUGUUCCUCAUUCAAAGUCAUCCAUAUAUGAUUGAUACUGCAAUCAUAGGUCAAUUCUAGUGUGUUAUGUAUGUGUGACCUUGUGACUAGCUUUCUGCCCAUAGAGUGGAGAAAUGGGUUUCAUUUCAAUUGUAGUAGCUAUCUUUCAAUAUAGCCGUAGCUGUCAAUAUAUACCUUUGUUCCAUUUUUGUAUUUUGUCCCCAACCUUCAGAUUAUUGCAGACAGAUGAUUUACAAAGAACUUAUCUUUCCACUCACACACACAUAAAAAUGAAAAAAGAAAAAAAGAUAAGCCUGAAUGAACAUGAUCCAAAUGACCAAAUCAUCUUCAAAAACUAUGGGUAGGAAAAGGCUCAGAGUGGGACCAAACAUAUUAUUUAUUCAUUUAUUCAUCUUCAUUUAGCCCAAAGAGCAAUGGACUGGUCAGAGGCCCUACUGUAAGCUCUCAGCCAUGUGGGUUUAUUUAUUUAUUUAUUUAUUUAUCUUGUUGGAAAGACUGCUUGUCUUAAACAAAACUCAUGAAGGUGCAUUGUAGAGAAGGCAAUCAUGUAUGAAGACUUGUUGCUUGUUGACUUCAAUCAGGACCCAAAUGGGCACCCAAUGCUGCUGGUGUGGCCACACUUAUAUGCCCAAGUCAAGUGUCCCCACCAUCCCCGUGACCUUUGCUUUCAAUGUGCCAACUCAUUGAUAUUGCCUUUGAGGGGUCAAACAAGAGGAGGAAGGGAAUUCAAGGUCAUCCCUGCUCCCAAAACAAACUCUGCCACAUGUCUAAUGAUAUGGAAAAAGUCAUGGAACAUUAAAAAAAACAAAAGAUGAGAGAGAGGCAAGUAAAGAGGGGAGAACUAUUGGGGUGUUGAUAGAAUUUGUGGACUCCGUCAAGGCUACACAAUAGAUCAGUCAAGUUCAUCAAGGAGACAAAUAAACAAAAAGAAAUAAAAAAAAAAAUACAUGUUUUUUUGUCUGCAGUCAAUGUGUGGCCUAUUUGCUGAGAGUCUUGGUUUUUGCUUGAUAUCCUUUUUUUCUAUGGAGCCUGUGUGGGAGGAGGUCUCCAAGUGUGAAACCAUCCUCCCCAAUUUUGCUGGUUUUUUGCCCUAGUCAUAGCAUUCUGCCUCAUGGCUUACCUUUUGCUUUUCAAGAGCCUGUGGAUUAGGGGGGGAGCUAUGAAAGCUUUUGAGGAAUACAAUGGAAAACAUGCAGACUAAGUCAUACAGACUGGGUCCAUAUUAUACAAAGAACAAGUUUCAAGAGCUAGAAAAGGCACAUAGCUUGCAUGUCACCCUUUUAUUUUUCUCCUCUCAAAUUUACAGGUGCUGACAUGGCACCUAACUCCAAAGGAAAAAGAUAGCUGAUGCCCUUAAAAAAAACCACAUUUGAAAAAUAUGUGCUAACUCAGUUGUGCACAUUACACGAGGUGAAGGUCAAAGAUUGAUUCAGGAUAUGGAAAACAAUGACAAAUUGUUCCUUGUUCCAUGAAGAAUCAGAGAAGGAAUGUACAGAAUUCAAGAGCCUCAGGAAGGAAUGGUUGUCUCAUAGCAAGUUGACUGAUUGAGGAAACCAAGCAAAUUAUGCUCCACUGCAACAUGUCAAAGAAGAAGAAGGAAGAAAGGGGUAGUAUGUGUGUGAGUGUGUUAGUGCAGGAAAGUUAUGGGAUUGAGCAAUCAGAGAAUGAGGGAGUCUCAAGUGGAAAGCAUGGGCCCAGAUUCUGAAGCAAAUUACACAUGAAAGAAGAAGGGGGUUUAAUGCUAGGCUUUGGAACAAGGGAAAGUGGGCCCAUUUCUUGGGAAGUAUGAACUCUUUUGCUUAAAAAGCAAGUUUUGGUGUAUUGGGUGCACAAAGGCUGAGGAGGAAAGAAGUUGAGUUUGAAGAUGGGGGGUGUGGGGCCUUUGCCUUAUGAGAUAGCAUUGAGAAGUUGUUGCCAGCCAGCCACACUCACAUAUUCAACAUACCCAACCUACAUAUAAACACAGAGAAACUAAACCAGGGGAUGGUGUUUCUGGUGGAUAACGCCGCAGCAAAAUGUACAAGGGUGUGGGUGCAGUCUGUCUGUCUGUCUGUCUGUGUGUCUGUCUGUUUGCUUGUAUUCAUCUGCAUAACAUAGAAGGGGGCUGGAGAGAUACUGCCCAUUAUGCCACCCGAAAGGGAAGCCCACAUGGUUGAAUUGAAUUGGUACCUAGAAAAGGAGAGAGUAAAUAAAUGCAUUCAAACAUGCAUAUAUAUAUAUAUAUAUAUAUAUGCAUACUCUACAAUCCUAUUGAACUGCUGCCAACAUGCACCUCCUCUUGCUCAGGCUAGAAUAAAACAAAGGGUCAUGAGGUUCACUGGGGCAGUGCCACAGAGAGAAAUGACAACCUCAUGAGAAAAUAAGUUGAGAAUAAUGAUACAGUAAAUUAUGGAUGUGCUACAAAGUACUUGUGGGUAGAUUAGCAUCUUUUUUCCUUCUUUCUUGUUUUUUGAACAUGGAUAGUGUGGGCUGCACUCAGGGCUAUUAUUAUUAUUAUUAUUAUUAUUAUUACUAUUUUUAGUAAUAAUCUUACUAAAGGCAUUAAACUUCUUGAAGAGGGAAACAGUAAGAGUCUCUCUCAAUAUUCGAAAUUUUCAGAUCCAACCUCCAAGCAGUCAAUGAUAUUUGUAUUUUUUCAACCUUAAAUUGUAUCUCAAGUUUUCAAUGUCCCAAAGGAAUUGCACUACAGUGACUAGAAAAGGUAUGAAUUGGUUCUUUGAGUGUUUUAAAUUGGAAAUUUAGAAGAUUCAAAUUAUAAUCAUAAAAUCAAGAAUCAAAUGAAAUAACAAUCAAUGUGUUGAUGUGCAUCUUCUUUGUGUGGAAAUUGGUUAUUUUAUCAUGUCUACAUGGCAUAUAACUAUUUAUUUUAUUUUAUUUUAUUUUAUAUAAAUCUGAUAGAUGUGAAAUUUGAAAUUUUGCAGGACUGAUUUGCCAUUUAGAAGAACAGUGCAACAAAACUAUAUUCAGCUUCAAAUAUAACAAUUGUUACUCUCAUAUCUCAAACAAGAAUUUUUAAUGAAUGUUUGCAUCCUGCAACCAAAAAUAUUACACAAACUAUUCCUUUAGUACAUCUAGAUAAAUGUACAAUAACAUAUGCUGCUGUUUCUGAAACAAAUCUAAAUUAUUCUUCUAAUAAAUGGGGCUCUUGAAGGGGGGGUUGAGCUUCAGUUUCAACACAUCAACCUCUCUCAACUGAAAAGGUUUGACUUGGGCAAGUGUACCAUGAAUCAUUGUUCCAUUAAAGAGUAUGAAGACUGAGAUAGUCCUGUUGGGUUCUUCCAUGAAUGAUUCAUAUGUACACAUUACCAAACAAAUACCAAGUUUGCUUGAUUUUAUUUAAUUAAAAAAAGCCAUGAUUAGUUUGCUUGACUGCAUGUCUCAAACAACUGUGGAAUUCAAAAUCAAAUCCUUGGAAAAGUCUCACCUGCUCUUGACUAAUCCAAGAGGAAAGGGCCAAAUAUUAGCUUGUCAAUUAUGAAGCAACAGUGGCUGGGAAAACUAUGUCAGAUAUGUCUUGGGUGUAUGUUUGUAAUCCAUCUAUGUGUAGAAACACAGUGUUUGUUAGUGUCCUGUAUGAUUAUGUGAUUUAUGGCAUUGGUAAAGUGAAACUUCAAAAAAUGUAAGAAAGUAAAACAAUAUUGUCAUUUGUUGAAAAUUU